GAUGAACGCUGGCGGCGUGCCUAAUACAUGCAAGUCGAGCGAACAGACGAGGAUCUUGCUCCUUUGACGUUAGCGGCGGACGGGUGAGUCACAUGUGGAUAACCUACCUAUAAGUCUGGGAACAUUUCGGGAAACCGGAGCUAACACCGGAUAAUAUAUUGAACCGCAUGGUUCAAUAGUGAAAUACGGUUUUGCUGUCACUUAUAGAUGGAUCUGCGCCGCAUUAGCUAGUUGGUAGGGUAACGGCUUAGCAAGGCUACCAUGCGUAGCCGACCUGAGGGGGUGGUAGGCCGCACGGGAGGUGGGACACGGACCAGACGACUGAGGUAGGCAGCAGUAGGGAAUCUGCCGCAACAGGCGAAAACCUGACGCAGCAGCGCCGAGUGAGUGAUAGAGGUCUUCGGAGCGUAAAGCUCUGUUAUUGGGGGAAAACAGAUGUGUAAGGAAAUAUACACGUAUUGACGGUACCUAAUCAAGAAGCAACGGCUAACUACGUG
rnacentral:rRNA from 1 species